CCUACGGGAGGCAGCAGUGAGGAAUAUUGGUCAAUGGGCGCGAGCCUGAACCAGCCAAGUAGCGUGAAGGAUGACUGCCCUACGGGUUGUAAACUUCUUUUAUAAAGGAAUAAAGUUAGGCACGUGUGCCUUUUUGCAUGUACUUUAUGAAUAAGGAUCGGCUAACUCCGUGCCAGCAGCCGCGGUAAUACGGAGGAUGCGAGCGUUAUCCGGAUUUAUUGGGUUUAAAGGGUGCGUAGUUGGGUUUUUAAGUCAGUUGUGAAAGUUUGUGGCUCAACCGUAAAAUUGCAGUUGAUACUGGCAGCCUUGAGUGCAGUUGAGGUAGGCGGAAUUCGUGGUGUAGCGGUGAAAUGCAUAGAUAUCACGAAGAACUCCGAUUGCGAAGGCAGCCUACUAAGCUACAACUGACAUUGAUGCACGAAAGUGUGGGUAUCAAACAGGAUUAGAUACCCGUGUAGUC
rnacentral:rRNA from 1 species